GCCAGGUGCAGUGGUGCGUGCCUGUAGUCCCAGCUAAUCGGGAGGCUGAGGCUGGAGGAUCACUUGAGCCCAAGAAUUCUGGCCUGUAGUUCGCUAUGCCGAUCGGGUGUCCGCACUAAGUUCUGCAUCGGUAUGUUGACGCUCUUGGGAGCGGGGAACCACCAGGUUGCCUAAGGAGGGGUGAACCAGCCCAAGUCGGAAACGGAGCAGGUCAAAACUCCCGUGCUGAUCAGUAGUUGGAUUGUGCCUGUGAAAAGCCACUGCACUCCAGCCUGGCCCACAUAGGGAGACCCCAUCUCU
rnacentral:SRP_RNA from 1 species